rnacentral:lncRNA from 1 species
AGAUUUUCCCUACUCAUUCCACUAAUUCAAAAGCCAGUUUCUUCCAGAAAGCCCUCAGAUGCACCCAGAAAUAAUGCUUUACCAGCUAUCUAAGUAUCCCUUAAUCCAGUCAAGUUAACACCCAAAAUUAACCACCAUAGACCCUAACCUAGAGCCAUUUGAAGACUAGAUCUGACUUGUAAAUUCUCAUAAGAUUCUCAAAAAAUUCAUCAGUUUUGCUUGUUACUUCAUUCAGGGCAGAUUUUUUUAAUUUUUAUUUUUUCCUAAUUCACAGUUUCACUGAAGAUUUAAUUCAUUACAGGUUCCAGAACUUGCAUCUAACUCUCCCAUUGUGCAGACCUGAGUUGAUCUAUGUCACAACUGAAGCCCCAGGCCACCAGAAUUCACAGUGAAUCCAACGAAAAUAAAUCUCACAGAGGUGGUGUCAUCUGCCACUGGCAGCUCAUAAAGGAUUUUAGGAUUUGCCAUCCCAGCUGUUUCUCCCUUACAAGCUCUAUGAAAGAGCUUUUGAAGUGAAUCUUGAAAGUCACAAGGGAUUUCAACUAGCAGAAAUAGGAAAAUUCGAGAAAGUGGAAAUCAUACACACACACACACACACACAGUUUCAGAAGAGUGAGAGAGGUUGGGCGUAUGGGUAGCAAAGAUUUCUAUUUGGCUGAAGAAAAGAGAGAAGCAUGUGUUUCAAGAGAAGCAAUGCUGAAAAGAGGUUGGGGGUCAUACUGAAAAUCAAGACAAGAAAGUUAAAAUAAAUUUAGCAGGAAUUAGCAUGUCUUAAGCAGUUCUACUUGAACACGUGACCGAUAUGCCUUCCGUAUGUCCUAGAGGAAAAUGACGCUUUUUUUGCUCUUUACAUCUGUCCCUUUGAAUCUACACUGUAGACUCCAUCCUCCCACUUUUUGAGGGAAUCUUGGGUAGAUAUCAUAGCUUAUGCAGUUAUUACAUAAGUAGUCUCCUUUUGCAGGUCUUAAAAAGCUUUGUCCAGUGAAAUAUUAAAACUCAAAGUUGUCAUCCAACUUACAAGUGAGGUUUUUCCUCAGGCUGAAGAUCUUGCAGUAGGGAAAGGAGAAGAAGUUAGCUCCUUCUCUCCUUGGGACCACCUCCUCCCUUACUUCCUUGCUACAUUUUCUGGUGACCGAAGGAGAGCAGGAGGAAGUAGUAAAUGAAGGAGAGUCUUUUGUAAUUGGCACAGUUAGCAGGCCACUGGUACCCUCUAGUCAUGGCAGAUGACAAAAGCCAACUCUCUCUUGAGGGAGACUUCUGAGAGUUCCUUAGAUUCUAUAUCCACUUUACCUCCCAGACCUUCCACUGCCUUUACCUAGAUAGAAC